GAUGAACGCUAGCGACAGGCUUAACACAUGCAAGUCGAGGGGCAGCGCGGAGGUAGCAAUACUUCUGGCGGCGACCGGCGCACUGGUGAGUAACACGUAUGCGACCUGCCCCGGACAGGGGGAUAAACCCGGGAAACUGGGCCUAAUACCCCAUACGCCUAUAGGGUGCAUGCCCUUUAGGUGAAAGAUCCGUCGGUCCGGGAUGGGCAUGCGGCGCAUUAGCUUGUUGGCGGGGCAACGGCCCACCAAGGCGACGAUGCGUAGGGGUUCUGAUAGGAAGGUCCCCCACACUGGUACUGAGACACGGACCAUACUCCUACGGGAGGCAGCAGUGAGGAAUAUUGGUGCAUGGGCGAUAGCCUGAACCAGCCAAGUCGCGUGCGGGAUGAAGGCCCUCCGGGUAGUAAACCGCUUUAGUCGGGGAGUAACGUGCGGGACGCGUCCCGCAGUGAGAGUACCCGGAGAAUAAGCAUCGGCUAACUCCGUGCCAGCAGCCGCGGUAAUACGGAGGAUCCGAGCGUUAUCCGGAUUCAUUGGGUUUAAAGGGUGCGCAGGCGGUGCCUUAAGUCAGCGGUAAAAUCGUGGGGCUCAACCCCAUCCCGCCGUUGAUACUGGGGCACUUGAUUACGGUCGAGGCAGGCGGAAUUCGUCGUGUAGCGGUGACAUGCAUAGAUAUGACGAAGAACACCGAUUGCGUAGGCAGCCUAUCAGGCCGUUAAUGACGCUCAUGCACGAAAGUGCGGGGAUCGAACA
rnacentral:rRNA from 1 species